rnacentral:rRNA from 1 species
AGAGUUUGAUCCUGGCUCAGAUUGAACGCUGGCGGCAUGCCUAACACAUGCAAGUCGAACGGAAACGAUGGGAGCUUGCUCCCAGGCGUCGAGUGGCGGACGGGUGAGUAAUACUUAGGAAUCUGCCCAGUAGUGGGGGACAACUCGAGGAAACUCGAGCUAAUACCGCAUACGCCCCAAGGGGGAAAGCGGAGGAUCUUUCGGGACUUCGCGCUAUUGGAUGAGCCUAAGUCGGAUUAGCUUGUUGGUGAGGUAAAAGCUCACCAAGGCGACGAUCCGUAGCUGGUCUGAGAGGACGAUCAGCCACACUGGGACUGAGACACGGCCCAGACUCCUACGGGAGGCAGCAGUGGGGAAUAUUGGACAAUGGGGGAAACCCUGAUCCAGCAAUGCCGCGUGUGUGAAGAAGGCCUGCGGGUUGUAAAGCACUUUCAGUAGAGAAGAAAAGCCUGGGGUUAAUACCCCUGGGUCUUGACGUUACCUACAGAAGAAGCUCCGGCUAACUCCGUGCCAGCAGCCGCGGUAAUACGGAGGGAGCGAGCGUUAAUCGGAAUUACUGGGCGUAAAGCGCGCGUAGGCGGCUUUGUAAGUCGGAUGUGAAAGCCCUGGGCUCAACCUGGGAAUGGCAUUCGAUACUGCAUAACUAGAGUAUGGUAGAGGGAAGUGGAAUUUCCCGGUGUAGCGGUGAAAUGCGUAGAU